CAGUCGCCGCGGGAAUACAGAGGCCUCAAGCGUUGUUCGGAUUCAUUGGGCGUAAAGGGUGCGUAGGUGGCUUGGUAAGUUGAAGGUGAAAUCUCGGGGCUUAACCCCGAAACUGCCUUCAAUACUGCUAGGCUCGAGGACUGUAGAGGAGAAUGGAAUUCACGGUGUAGCAGUGAAAUGCGUAGAUAUCGUGAGGAAGACCAGUGGCGAAGGCGAUUCUCUGGGCAGUUCCUGACACUGAGGCACGAAGGCCAGGGGAGCAAACGGGAUUAGAUACCCCGGUAGUCCCUGUCUCUUAUAC
rnacentral:rRNA from 1 species